rnacentral:rRNA from 1 species
CCUACGGGCGGCAGCAGUGAGGAAUAUUGGUCAAUGGGCGCAAGCCUGAACCAGCCAAGUCGCGUGAGGGAAGACGGCCCUACGGGUUGUAAACCUCUUUUGCCGGGGAGCAAGCCUGAGCACGUGUGCCCAGGCGGAGAGUACCCGGAGAAAAAGCAUCGGCGAACUCGGUGCCAGCAGCCGCGGUAAUACGGGGGUUGCGAGCGUUAUCCGGAUUUAUUGGGUUUAAAGGGUGCGCAGGCGGGCUGUUAAGCCGGCGGUAAAAAUUCAGGGUGAAACCCUGUCGAGCCGUCGAUACUGGUAGUCUUGAGUGGGCGAGAGGUAUGCGGAAUGCGUGGUGUAGCGGUGAAAUGCAUAGAGAUCACGCAGAACGCCGAUUGCGAAGGCAGCAUACCGGCGCCCAACUGACGCUGAGGCACGAAAGCGUGGGGAUCGAACAGGAUUAGAUACCCUAGUAGUC